UUAAAUUGAAGAGUUUGAUCAUGGCUCAGAUUGAACGCUGGCGGCAGGCCUAACACAUGCAAGUCGAACGGUAACAGGAAGCAGCUUGCUGCUUUGCUGACGAGUGGCGGACGGGUGAGUAAUGUCUGGGAAACUGCCUGAUGGAGGGGGAUAACUACUGGAAACGGUGGCUAAUACCGCAUAACGUCGCAAGACCAAAGAGGGGGACCUUCGGGCCUCUUGCCAUCAGAUGUGCCCAGAUGGGAUUAGCUUGUUGGUGAG
rnacentral:rRNA from 1 species